rnacentral:rRNA from 1 species
GACGAACGCUGGCGGCGUGCUUAACACAUGCAAGUCGAACGGAAAGGCCCUGCGUUUGUGGGGUGCUCGAGUGGCGAGCGGGUGAGUAAAACGUGAGUAACCUGCCCUUGACUGUGGGAUAUCUUCACGAAACUGCGGCGAAUACCGGGGAUGAGCUCCUGCUGCGUGUGGUUGGUUGGAAAAUGCCGGCUGUGGUGGCUGGAUUGGCGGGUUAUCAGCUUGUUGGGGGGGUAGUGGCGUACCAAGCCUUUGACGGUUAGCCGACCUGGGAGCGGGACCGGCGACAUGGGGCCUGCGAUACGGACCAGAAGCCUACGGGAGGCAGCAGUGGAGAGUAUUGCACAAUGGGCGGGAGCCAGAUGCAGCGACGCCGCGUGCGGAAUGCCGGGCUUCGGGUUGUAAACCGAUUUGGCAGGUGACAAAGAGUGCGUGACGGUAAUGGGUAAAGAAGCACCGGCUAACUACGUG